GACGAACGCUGGCGGCGUGCUUAACACAUGCAAGUCGAACGGAAAGGCCCUGCUUUUGUGGGGUGCUCGAGUGGCGAACGGGUGAGUAACACGUGAGUAACCUGCCCUUGACUUUGGGAUAACUUCAGGAAACUGGGGCUAAUACCGGAUAGGAGCUCCUGCUGCAUGGUGGGGGUUGGAAAGUUUCGGCGGUUGGGGAUGGACUCGCGGCUUAUCAGCUUGUUGGUGGGGUAGUGGCUUACCAAGGCUUUGACGGGUAGCCGGCCUGAGAGGGUGACCGGCCACAUUUGGACUGGGGUUCGGCCCAAGCUCCCUCGGGGGGCAGCGGUGGGGGAUAUUGCACAAUUGGCCGAAGCCUGAUGCAACAACGCCGCGUGCCGGAUGGCCGGCUUCGGGUUGUAAACCGCUUUCGCCUGUGACGAAGCGUGAGUGACGGUAAUGGGUAAAGAAGCACCGGCUAACUACGUG
rnacentral:rRNA from 1 species